GAUGAACGCUGACAGAAUGCUUAACACAUGCAAGUCGAUGGGGAAGUGGUGCUUGCACCCUGGCAACCCUGGCGGACGGGUGAGUAACGCGUAAGGGACUUACCUGCAGGACUGGGAUAACAGGGGGAAACUCCUGACAAGACCGGAUAAUGUCAUGGAGCUGCAUGGCUUUAUGAUGAAAGGAGACGCCUGCGGAGAGCCUUGCGUCCUAUUAGCUAGUUGGUGAGGUAAUGGCUCACCAAGGCGAAGAUAGGUAGCCGGCCUGAGAGGGUGGACGGCCACAAGGGGACUGAGAUACGGCCCUUACUCCUACGGGAGGCAGCAGGGGGGAAUAUUGGACAAUGGGGGCAACCCUGAUCCAGCAAUUCUGUGUGCACGAAGAAGGUUUUCGGAUUGUAAAGUGCUUUCAGCAGGGUAGAAGUAAGUGACGGUACCUGCAGAAGAAGCGACGGCUAAAUACGUG
rnacentral:rRNA from 1 species